rnacentral:misc_RNA from 1 species
AACCAUAGAAACCUGCGGAGUACCUGCGGAAGGAUCAUUACCGAGUUUACAACUCCCAAACCCCUGUGAACAUACCUAUACGUUGCCUCGGCGGAUCAGCCCGCGCCCUGUAAAAAGGGACGGCCCGCCCGAGGACCCUAAACUCUGUUUUUAGUGGAACUUCUGAGUAAAACAAACAAAUAAAUCAAAACUUUCAGCAACGGAUCU